rnacentral:rRNA from 1 species
UACAGAGGGGACUAGCGUUGUUCGGAAUUACUGGGCGUAAAGCGCACGUAGGCGGAUUUGUAAGUCAGGGGUGAAAUCCCGGGGCUCAACCUCGGAACUGCCUUUGAUACUGCGAAUCUCGAGUCCGGAAGAGGUGAGUGGAAUUCCUAGUGUAGAGGUGAAAUUCGUAGAUAUUAGGAAGAACACCAGUGGCGAAGGCGGCUCACUGGUCCGGUACUGACGCUGAGGUGCGAAAGCGUGGGGAGCAAACAGG